rnacentral:rRNA from 1 species
UACGGGGGGGGCAAGCGUUGUUCGGAAUUACUGGGCGUAAAGGGCUCGUAGGCGGCCAACUAAGUCAGACGUGAAAUCCCUCGGCUUAACCGGGGAACUGCGUCUGAUACUGGAUGGCUAGAGGUUGGGAGAGGGAUGCGGAAUUCCAGGUGUAGCGGUGAAAUGCGUAGAUAUCUGGAGGAACACCGGUGGCGAAGGCGGCAUUCUGGACCAAUAUUGACGCUGAGGAGCGAAAGCCAGGGGAGCAAACGGG